rnacentral:rRNA from 1 species
CUAACUCCGUGCCAGCAGCCGCGGUAAGACGGGGGAUGCAAGCGUUAUUCGGAAUUAUUGGGCGUAAAGCGUCUGUAGGUGGUAAGGAAAGUGUAAUGUUAAAGAUCAGGGCUCAACCCUGGGAAAGCAUUGCAAACUAUCUUACUUGAGUUCGGUAGGGGCAGAGAGAAUUCCCAGUGUAGCGGUGAAAUGCGUAGAUAUUGGGAGGAAGACCGGUGGCGAAGGCGUUCUGCUGGGCCGUAACUGACACUCAGAGACGAAAGCUAAGGUAGCAAAUAGGAUUAGAUACCCUAGUAGUCUUAGCUGUAAACGAUGCACACUAUGUUUUGCAAUUUGCAGAGCAAUAGCUAACGCGUUAAGUGUGCCGCCUGGGGAGUACAUUCGCAAGGAUGAAACUCAAAGGAAUUGACGGGGACCCGCACAAGCGGUGGAGCAUGUGGUUUAAUUCGAUGCAACGCGAAGAACCUUACCAAGAAUUGACAUGCUGCGAACGUUUACGAAAGUAAAAAGUCUAUUAACUUAGUUAAUAGCGCAGACACAGGUGGUGCAUGGUUGUCGUCAGCUCGUGCCGUGAGGUGUUAGGUUAAGUCCUGCAACGAGCGCAACCCUUGUCUUUAGUUAUAUUCUAGAGAGACUGCCGGUGACAAACCGGAGGAAGGUGAGGAUGACGUCAAAUCAGCAUGCCCCUUACAUCUUGGGCGACUCACGUGCUACAAUGGUCGGGACAAAGAGAUGCUACCCUGCGAAGGCAAGCUAACCUCAAAAACCCGAUCUCAGUUCGGAUUGCAGGCUGC